ACUUAGCUGCAAUUUUCAUGCUGAUUUCUAACAAUUUGCAGAAUCUUGUUGAAUUUCUUCUUUCUUCACUGCGGUUUUUUUUUUUUUUUUUUUUUUUUCAGACAGAGUCUUGUUCUGUCUCCCGGGCUGGAGUGCAGUGGUGUGAUCUCGACUCACUGAAACCUCCACCUCCUGGGUUCAAGUGAUUCUCCUGCCUCCACCUUCCGAGUAGCUGAGAUUACAGAUUUAUAACAGCAUUAUCAAAUCUGUCUGGUGUCUUUGAAGAGUUGUGGAACAGUGGAGAGAUCCAGGACCCAGGCCACGCCAACUGAUUCAAGUCUCUGGGAAGAAAUUUGAAUUAAUCUAAACUUGUAAAAAAUUAAGAGUGUCUAUACAAAAGAGAAUCAGCAUCAUAACUGCAAUAUUCAGCACAUAUUGAAGAUAUCAAUAUUAUUAUUUACAUAUAGAAGAUAAUAGCUUUGUGAAAAAUGACAAGUGGCUCUCCGUGGUCGACAGAGUUCUGCAGAGUUGUGAAGACUCUUCCUGCUUUCCCUUCACCUUUUGCCAUGAAUGUAAAUUUCCUAAGUCCUCCCAGUCAUGCUUCCUGUUAAACCCGUGGAACGAGACAGUGUCUUGCCAUGUUGUCCAGGCUACCCUUGAAAUUCUGACAUCAAUUACUCUUCCCACCUUGGCCUCCCAAAGCACUGGGAUUACAGACAUUAGCCAUCAUGCCCCACCAUGCUGUUCAUCUGGAGAACAGAAGAGAGCAGAAGUAAAACUUGUCCCCCCUGAAACUCCUCAGAAUUGUCAGAUUUAGGUUUUUGAUUGAAGAAAAAAAAUGAAGAUGACCUUGGGAAUGGCAAUAACUGUUUAAAUAAAAGGCACAAUGCAUGAAAGAAAUAACUGAUA
rnacentral:lncRNA from 13 species